rfam:Oryza glaberrima chromosome 8 Oglab08_0010_35, whole genome shotgun sequence.
AAUAAGUGUAGUUUUGCACUGUUCAUGUCCAACGUUUGACCGUUCGUCUUAUUUAAAUUUUUUUAUGUUUAGUAUUUUUAUUGUUAUUAGAUGAUAAAACUGAAUAGUACUUUAUGUGUGACUUUUUUUAUUUUUCAUAAAUUCUUAAAAUAAGAUGGAUGGUCAAACGUUGGACACGGAUACCCACGGCUAGGGGUGAA